rnacentral:lncRNA from 1 species
UGUGAAAUCAGUUUAGACAAAAAGAUGCAUUAGAAAAGUGAGAGAGAAGUUGAAAGAACUCAACCCACAGGAACUCAUAGAAGUUGUGGGAAAUUUGUGACUGCGUCUUCGUUCACCGUUAGAUCGGACUGAAAUUUGGACAACAGGUUCACAGCUUCUGGUACUUCAUUCUGAACGGUUGGAUCAAUGAGACUUCAUUCGAGGUGGUACAAAACGAGCCAUAACAGUAGUUGUUCUUCUUGUUUUUUCUACAACUUUGUAUUCUCAUUUUCAAACUUGUUGUCCUGUUGUAUGCCGU